AAACGGCUGCCAGUAGGAGAGGAAGAAGCAUUUCCGAGCAGAGAGGCCCCCGUGGGCUCUGCUGAAGUCUAGAAUCCCCCUUUCUCACCGCCAAGUGAAGAAGAGAAUCUGCGCUCAACCCAGGAUUUCUCUGUGAAGCCCUGGAUGUUCCUGAAACUAGCUCUUUAGACCAGGCUGGACUUGAACUCAGAAAUCUGCCUACCUCUGCCUCCAAGUGCUGGGACUAAAGCCACAGAAAUUGCAUUGAAACAACUAUGAGCCAAUCAGAACAGACAAAUAGAGAGCACUCCACUGGACAGCCACAAAACAAACAUUCUUCUUAUGCGUGUGUGUGCACCAUUCUCCAGGAAGCUUCCUAUACCGGACCAGAAGGUACAUCUUACCUUUCAAACACAUUAACUACUUCCCAGCUACAAUGUGGAGCACUGGAAAUCAAUGACAAGGAGAAUUGAAAGAAAUAUCGACAUUAAAUUCUGUAGAGUUCACACUCUUUGUUUUUAAAUAAGAUUUUUCCUGGGCUGGCUCCACACCCACCCUUCCCUCCAGCCACCUCCUGAACGUACGUACGCCACUUUUAUUUUUGGGACAGGUCUCACUGCAGUGCAGGCUGACCUUGAACUUGAACUGAUCCUCUUGCCUCAGGAUCUCUAGUGCUGGUCCUACAGGCAUGAACCAUCGUAUUCAAGUCCAAAUCUACAUUCUUAAGUGAUCAAUAAGCCAUCGAAUAAACCACGGGGCUAAUAAAGCUCUGAGACAAAUGAAAAUGAAGACAGAAUGUGCCAAAGCUUAUAGGACACAUCAAGCUCAUAUAUAUGUGUGUGUGUGUGUGUGUGUGUAUAUAUAUAUAUAUAUAUAUAUAUAUGUGUGUGUGUGUGUGUGUGUGUGUGUGUGUGUAUGUAUAUAUAUAUGCAUAUACAUACAUACACACAUAUGUGCAUAUACAUACCCCAAGUCAGUCGUCUAGCCAUAUAGCUUUAGAAACAAGAAAUAGAAAAGCAGUGUAACCUCCAAGCUAAAGGAAGAAAAGAAUGAAGGCUGGAGAGAAAUAGAGAACAGAAAACAGCAGAGAAAAUGAGCCAAUCCAAUGGUUGGUGCUUUGAGAAACUCAUGAAACUGACAUAUCAUUGGCUAGAUUAACUAAGAAAAGGAGAGAGGUCUCCACAGGGAAAGACCUCUGCUGCCAAACCUGACAGCCCGAGUUUGACCCCCAUAAUCCACACAGUGCAUGAAGAGAACUGACUUCUGCAUGCUGUCCUCUGACCUCCCCGGGAGAGUUGCGGCACAGGUGUGUCCAUACCCAUCCACACAAAAUAAAUCAAUAAAGGAC
rnacentral:lncRNA from 1 species